rnacentral:lncRNA from 1 species
GCAGAUAAGAAAUAGGAAAGUGGAAAAAAUAGCAAAAGGAAAGUGGGAAAAUGGAGAUUGUCUUCAACUCCUCUUGCUGCCUAACAUCGUAUCUUCUAUAACUCUCAAUUGAUGUUUUGUCUUUGUGCUUAGAUUUGACCUUUUCUAGUAGAUCUAUCUCAUUUUAAAUCAUCUUGUGUCUUCUCAUCCUAAUAUCAGUUACUCAAAUCUAAUUAUAAGUGGGUUGAAUCCAACCAAGGGAUUAAUAAUUCGCUGAUUUUGGUGAAUGAUGCAGUGAAGAACUUGUGAAUGAUUUUGUCGACUUCAUCUUCGAUCCCCUCCUUAGGCUGCUGCAUAACCAGG